rnacentral:rRNA from 1 species
CCUACGGGAGGCAGCAGUGAGGAAUAUUGGUCAAUGGGCGCGAGCCUGAACCAGCCAAGUAGCGUGAAGGAUGACUGCCCUACGGGUUGUAAACCUCUUUUAUAAAGGAAUAAAGUGAGGUACGUGUGCCGUUUUGUGUGUACUUUAUGAAUAAGGAUCGGCUAACUACGUGCCAGCAGCCGCGGUAAUACGGAGGAUCCGAGCGUUAUCCGGAUUUAUUGGGUGUAAAGGGAGCGUAGAUGGGUUGUUAAGUCAGUUGUGAAAGUUUGCGGCUCAACCGUAAAACUGCAAUUGAUACUGGCAGUCUUGAGUGCAGUUGAGGUAGGCGGAAUUCGUGGUGUAGCGGUGAAAUGCUUAGAUAUCACGAAGAACUCCGAUUGCGAAGGCAGCUUACUAGACUGCCACUGACAUUGAUGCUCGAAAGUGUGGGUAUCAAACAGGAUUAGAUACCCCAGUAGUC